UUACGGCCACAUCAGGUUGAAACACCGCUUCCCUUACGAUCGCCGAAGUUAAGCAACAUUGAGCUUGGUCAGUAUCUCGGUGGCCACUUAGGAAUACCAGGUGCU